CAUUGACUUGGACAAUCAAUAUUUAUGAUCUGAUCUCAAAUCAGGUAGGACUACCCGCUGAACUUAAGCAUAUCAAUAAGCGGA
rnacentral:rRNA from 1 species